GAUGAACGCUGGCGGCGUGCCUAAUACAUGCAAGUCGAGCGAACAGACGAGGAGCUUGCUCCUCUGACGUUAGCGGCGGACGGGUGAGUAACACGUGGAUAACCUACCUAUAAGACUGGGAUAACUUCGGGAAACCGGAGCUAAUACCGGAUAAUAUAUUGAACCGCAUGGUUCAAUAGUGAAAGACGGUUUUGCUGUCACUUAUAGAUGGAUCCGCGCCGCAUUAGCUAGUUGGUAAGGUAACGGCUUACCAAGGCAACGAUGCGUAGCCGACCUGAGAGGGUGAUCGGCCACACUGGAACUGAGACACGGUCCAGACUCCUACGGGAGGCAGCAGUAGGGAAUCUUCCGCAAAGGGCGAAAGCUUGACGGAGCAACGCCGCGUGAGGGAUGAAGGUCUUCGGAUCGUAAAACUCUGUUAUUAGGGAAGAACAAAUGUGUAAGUAACUAUGCACGUCUUGACGGUACCUAAUCAGAAAGCCACGGCUAACUACGUG
rnacentral:rRNA from 1 species